ACUUCCCUUGGUUUCUGUUUCACUUGCAGUAUUUCAGGCCUGAAAUGUGUUUUUCUGGACAUGAAACCUGCAGAGCAGAACAGGAGUGAGCCUUCCUGAACCUUGUCGGAGCAGAGCCACCAGCACCCACUUGUUUCCAGUAGUGCUACUGAUUAGUGAUGAUGAAGAGGAACAAGGAGAUAAUGAUGGACUGCGCAAGGUGAACAACUGAUUGCGUCAACCCCAUGUGGUCAUGUCUCUGCAGUUGAUGCCUCCCUGUUGCCCUUCAGACUGCCAGCACUUGCCCAGCCUGCAGGACAGAACUCAGUCAUGAAAAAUAUCAUCCCAUUUAUAUAUGAGCACUUCUAUUUCUCCAGACAGACUCAGAUGGAUCUUGGGGGAUAGGCUGUGUAAAGACUUGUUUCUUUGUAUAUAU
rnacentral:lncRNA from 1 species